AUGGAGCACCUGCAACCACACCCCAUCGCUUUUCAUGCAUCACCUACCCCAUCGAUGCCGCAUCGACCUUCCGCACCUCCCUACCACGCCAAAUGCUUCCGUCGCCGGGGUGAAACGAAAGCGGCAGGGCAACCAUGCCGUGCAUGGAGUCAGGCCCCUUCUGACUGCGGGCGCCAUUCUUCCUCCCGCGUACAGCGGUGCUGUCUCACGGGCCGGCUCGAGGAUGGGUGCCUCCUCCACCCCCUCCAUCGAAUGGGCGAAAUCACAAGACAAGGGCUCGAGGAAGGGCAAGGCUCCGGCGGCUUGACGACGGAUGCCUCCUCCACCCAAUCUGGCGGCCCAUCCAACGUCAAAGCCGAGGUGGAAGAGGAGGAUGACGAAAAUAAUGAUGUAGAAGAGGUUGAGGAGAAGGGUUGCCACCGGUGUUCAACCGGCAAAAAAUAUUGGCAAUUCAUUGAGGACAAGUAUCAUAAGCUCAUGGACGUCACAUCUUCAUGUUCAUUGAAAUCACUCGAAGGCCAUUGGGAUGUGAAAAAAACAAUGUGCCCGUUGGAGUGGUUGCUUGGAGCAAGUGUGGAAUGCAUGGUUCACAUUAAGCAUUCGUUUUCCAACAUUGUUGGAACUUGCUUAAAGGAGGUGAGAAAAUGGAUGUUGAGGGAUCAAGAAGCUCGACGAAAGAAAGGUGCACUGGUUAAAUUGGAAGACGAUGAUGACAGUGAUGAUGCACUAAAGGGAGGACAAAACAAGGGAGAGCUCGAUGAAAGAAAGUUGUAG
rnacentral:rRNA from 1 species